rnacentral:rRNA from 1 species
CGCCGCUGCAGAGUUUGAUCCUGGCUCAGGAUAAACGCUGGCGGCGCACAUAAGACAUGCAAGUCGAACGGAAGUCGUUAUACUGAUUUUGAUAUGAACGUUGAACUUGUUCAGUGUGACUUGAUGAAGAUUUAUAACAAUGGCUUUAGUGGCGGACUGGUGAGUAAUACGUAAGCAACCUGCCUAUUAGAGGGGAACAACAGUUAGAAAUGACUGCUAAUACCGCAUAUGCCAUAAUAGAGACAUCUCUAUAGUGGGAAAGGAGUAAUCCGCUGAUAGAUGGGCUUACGGCUGAUUAGCUAGUUGGUGUGGUAACGGCAUACCAAGGCGACGAUCAGUAGCCGGAUUGAGAGAUUGAACGGCCACAUUGGGACUGAGAUACGGCCCAGACUCCUACGGGAGGCAGCAGUCGGGAAUAUUGCGCAAUGGAGGAAACUCUGACGCAGUGACGCCGCGUGCAGGAAGAAGGUUUUCGGAUUGUAAACUGCUUUAGACAGGGAAGAAGAAUGACAGUACCUGUAGAAUAAGCUCCGGCUAACUACGUGCCAGCAGCCGCGGUAAUACGUAGGGAGCAAGCGUUAUCCGGAAUUAUUGGGUGUAAAGAGUGCGUAGACGGGAAGUUAAGUUGGUCUGUGAAAUCCCUCGGCUCAACUGAGGAACUGCAACCAAAACUGAUUUUCUUGAGUGCUGGAGAGGAAAGUGGAAUUCCUAGUGUAGCGGUGAAAUGCGUAGAUAUUASGAGGAACACCAGUGGGCGAAGGCGACUUUCUGGACAGUAACUGACGUUGAGGCACGAAAGCGUGGGGAGCAAACAGGAUUAGAUACCCUGGUAGUCCACGCUGUAAAACGAUGGAUACUAGGUGUAGGGGAUGAUAAAUCCUCUGUGCCGUCGCAAACGCAGUAAGUAUCCCACCUGGGGAGUACGACCGCAAGGUUGAAACUCAAAGGAAUUGACGGGGGCCCGCACAAGCAGUGGAGUAUGUGGUUUAAUUCGACGCAACGCGAAGAACCUUACCAGGGCUUGACAUAUACCGGAAUAUAUUAGAGAUAGUAUAGUCCUUCGGGACUGGUAUACAGGUGGUGCAUGGUUGUCGUCAGCUCGUGUCGUGAGAUGUUGGGUUAAGUCCCGCAACGAGCGCAACCCUUGUUCUUAGUUACCAGCACGUAAUGGUGGGGACUCUAGGAAGACUGCCGGUGACAAAUCGGAGGAAGGUGGGGACGACGUCAAAUCAUCAUGCCCUUUAUGUCCUGGGCUACACACGUACUACAAUGGCUAUUACAGAGUGAAGCGAAGCAGUGAUGUGGAGCAAAACACAAAAAAGUAGUCUCAGUUCGGAUUGAAGGCUGAAAUUCGCCUUCAUGAAGCCGGAAUUGCUAGUAAUGGCAGGUCAGCAUACUGCCGUGAAUACGUUCCCGGGCCUUGUACACACCGCCCGUCACACCAUGAGAGUUGGGAAUACCCGAAGCCUGUGAGCUAACUUUUCAAGAGGCAGCAGUCGAAGGUAGAACCAAUGAUUGGGGUGAAGUCGUAACAAGGUAACCCGGGCGGCCGCUC